rnacentral:rRNA from 1 species
UACGAAGGGGGCUAGCGUUGCUCGGAAUCACUGGGCGUAAAGGGUGCGUAGGCGGGUUUUUAAGUCAGGGGUGAAAUCCUGGAGCUCAACUCCAGAACUGCCUUUGAUACUGAGGAUCUUGAGUUCGGGAGAGGUGAGUGGAACUGCGAGUGUAGAGGUGAAAUUCGUAGGUAUUCGCAAGAACACCAGUGGCGAAGGCGGCUCACUGGCCCGAUACUGACGCUGAGGCACGAAAGCGUGGGGAGCAAACAGG